rnacentral:lncRNA from 1 species
AGCGCGGUACCCGCCCCGGCGAGGCGCUGGGGAGGCCCGGGUGGGGAGAAGAAAUGGGGCCUGGGGGACGGUAGGAGCCUCCGUGCGGAGACCACUGUUCAAGGCCACAGGUGAGGAGGUGUGGAGGGGGCUUCGGGGCUGUUGACCUGGGUCAGCUCCUCCCCUCCAAUUCACCGCUUCCGCGACUCCAAAUAGAUGGAAUCACUCAGUCCUGCUGCUACUGGAGAGGGAAGGUGACCUUGACGCUGCCUCCCGCUCGGCCUGGCCCCUCCGCCUGGCGUUUCAGGGCUGCACGGAGUAGGUCUGGCGGGCGGGGGGCGGGGCGCAGGCACCCGGGACGAGGGUUGCCAUGGGAACCGCUAGGGAGGCGUCCCCAGCCCGGGAGCCGGGAGGAGCUCGGUGGGAGGGGAGCGGGAGGCGGAGGGGGCUGCGCUGUCCGACGUGGGGAGACUGCGGCGGAGGGAGGAGGCGAGGGGCGGCAGGCACGGGCGGAAGUGACGGAAGCCAGGGCCCGAAGAUGGACGGAAUCUGUCGCCUCUGCACAGCCUCAUUCAGUUGUGUCCUUCCCAGACCCUCAGACUCGCCCACUACAGCGUCCAGCGCUGCCCGGGCGGGGGAGAAGGGGCGCCCUCCCGGGGGGGAUGGGUAGGGGGUGUCGGCCGGGGAAAUCAGGCCAUUUCCCGCCUCCCUUCCCCACCGGCACCCGCGCCACUCUUCCUGACAGGACCACCGAUGCCCUGCUCCACACCAACUGCGUCCUUUUCCCUAGAGAGAAACUGAGGCAGAGAGGGGUAGGAAUGGGUUUUUGAAGUGUUGGCGGGGGUGGGGGUGUCCUUUGAAGCCUCUACCCAGCCUAUCAACCCUGAGGCGUCGAGGGGCGAUGGGGCUGUUUCUGUCUCCCGCCCCUGCUGCUUCCCUGGGACCCCCACCUCCCAAAGCCGAGGCUCAGGCGCAAAGGUCCCGGCCCUGGCGGGACACGGCCCGGGCUGAGGAUGCGGGCAGAGCGCGGGGGUUCUCCAGGGGCUGGGGCUGGGGCCUGGCCGCGCGUGGGGCAGGGCUAAGCUCACCUCUCUGCCUGCUGUCUCCGCCGAGCAAAGGCGGGUCCGGUUCGCGCCUGCGCCGCAGUUCGGGGCGGGGGAGGGGGCGCCGGCCCGCCUCAGGGCCUGGCUCUGCAGACGGCGGCCGCCUGCAGCUCCCCCGGCUCCUGUCCCCUUCCAGAGUUCCCUGCUCGCUCGGACACCCCAGCGCCCUCACAGAGACCCCUCGGACUCCCUGGGCCCCAGCCCCUCACGCAGCCCCUCAGACUCCUCACCGAAGCUGCCGUCACUCCCGCAGUUCCCCACCCCUCCCGUGGAAGACCCAUCCCUUAACCGAGCCUUCCUCUCCUCGCUGCACCGUCAGUCCCUUUUCCAGGUCUCCAUCCCCCUCAUGGAGCCCCACCCCAGCGUAGAAACCGCUUCUCCUCGCCGGGCCCCCGCCCUCUUCACAGGCUCCCAUCUGUCUCCGGGCUCCUACCGGGAAGUCCCCUCCCACUUGCCUUGAGAGCCGCUAAUCCCUCUGGAGUCCUCACAUCUCACUCAGUCCCCAUCCUCUUUUCAUCCUCUUUUCCUCUUUGAGUCCCUACCCAUCCCUGGUACGGGAUCAGCCCUUGUACCUUGAGAAGGGAGUUUGGGUGGAGGACUCGGGGUUGGGAGAGAAGUGACCUCCACUUUGGAAGGAGCUAAUGACAGCCUCCCUUGUUGUUUCCUCCCCUAGCCCCAGUUCUGCCCUGGGCAAUGCGUGCCCACUGCCCAUCUCCCUGGAGAGCCAGCCUGUGCCAGGCAGCUGCAUCUGCCUCCCACCCUGUCAUGAGCUGUCAGCCUUGAUUUUGUCCCACAUUUGCUGUGUGAUCUUGGGAAAGUCAUUGUGCCCCUCCAACCGUCAUCAAGCACCCUUGCACAGACAUGCCUUUGUGUCUUGAGCAUCUAUUCUGUUUCUCCUUGUGCUAGGGGCUGGGGACACACAGAAGAAUGAGCUCGGCAAGAUAGGGCCACAUCUUCCUUUUUAGUUUUUCUUUUUCUUUUUUUUUAAUUUUUAUUUUUUUGAGACAGCGUCUCACUCUGUUGUCCAGGCUGGAGUGCGGUGGCAUGAUCACGGCUCACUGCAGCCUCGAUCUCCCAAGGCUCAGGUGAUCCUCCCACCUCAGUCGCCUGAGGAGCUGGGACUACAGGCACGCACUACCAUGCCUAGCUAAUUUUUUGUAUUUUUAAUAGAGACAGGGUUUUGCCAUGAUGCCCAGGCUGGUCUUGAACUCCUGAGCUCAAGUGAUCCACCUGCCUCGGCCUCCCAAAGUGCUGGGAUUGUAAGCGUGAGCCACCGCGUCUGGCCAAGGCCACAUAUUUCUUGUUCGUGUUGUAUCUGUGAGCCUCCCAUAGUGCUUGGCACUGAGUAGGCAGCCCAGUAAAUAUUUACUGAAGACAGUCUAAUAAUAGUAGCAAACUUAUUAUGCUCACUAUGUGCAAAGUGUUUAAGCGUUUUGUAUGUUCUAUUUACUUACUCAUUUAAGUGUGUGUGUGUGUGUGUAUGUGUGUGUGUGUGAUGGGAGGAACUCUUGCAGCUCAAAACUAAAGGCCCCAAAUGGUGACAGGAGAUGGCAUUGGAGAGGCAGGCAGAAGUGAGACCUUGUGGGGCCUCAUAAGCCAAGGUAAGGAGUUUGAGCUUCAGCCCAAGGGUAGUGGGGAGCCAUGGAAGGGUUAUGAAGAGGGGUGGGAUGUGAUCUGAUUUUCAUUCUGAAAAGACCUCUGGCUGCUGUCAAGAGAACAGCAUGUUGAGCACAAGAGUGACAGCAAGAGAUCAGCAAAGAGAUCAGAGAUGACAGUGUCUUGGCCUGGUGCAGAGAAAUGAAGACAUUCAAGAGAUGUUAGCCUGUAAAAUGAACUACAGGAAUAGCUACAGAUUGGAAACAACCUGUGGUGGUUUUAAAAUAUAGCUACAAAUUCUUUAGCACUCCUCUGUAGAGAGGUGGGAUCCUUGUACCCUCUCUGAAUCUUGGGUGAGCUGAUGACUGCUUCAACCAAUGGAGUACGGUGGAAGUAACACUCUGACUUCUAAGGUCCAGACAUAAAAGUACAGGCAACUUCUGCUAGAACUCUAGCUCUUGGAGCCUGAGGCACCAUGCCUACCUAGGGCUCCAUGUCUGCUUAGAGGCUGCCAUGCUGUCAGGAUGCCAAGACCAUCAGGAGAGGACACAUGAAGGCACCACAGUCCCAGCUAAGCUUAGCUUUGAGUCAUCCCAGUUCAAGCAUAAAAGAAGUGAGUGAAGAAGAACCAGAUGAGGCCAGGCACGGUGGCUCACACCUGUAAUCCCAGCACUUUGGGAGGCCAAGGCGGGUGGAUACCCUGAGUUCAGGAGUUCGAGACCAGCCUGGCCACAUGGCAAAACCCCGUCUCUACUAAAAAUACAAAAAUAGCCGGGCAUGGUGGCGUGCACCUGUAAUCCCAGCUACUAGGGAGGAUGAGGCAGGAGAAUUGCUUGAACCCGGGAGGCAGAGGUUGCAGUGAGCCGACAUCAUGCCAUUGCACUGUAGAAGGCGAAGGGGAAGGGGAAGAACAAGAUGAUUCCAGUGGCCAGCCAUUUGAAUCAGCUUCAGCCUUCAAAUCUUCAAAUCUUCCUAGCUGAAGACUCAAACAUUGCAGAGUAGAAACAAGCUGGCCUCACUGUGUCCUGCCUGAAUUCCUGACACACAGAACCCACAAGCAUAUUCAAGUGGUUAUUGUGUUAUACCACUAGGUUUGGGGGGUUUUGUUCUGUGCUAACAGAUAACUGGGACACCACUUAAAUAUCCAUCAAUGGAAGACGAGUUAUGUACAUUAUAUGUCUUUGUGGAAUACUAUGCAUCCAUUAGAAAGAAGAAAUUAGUCUAUAAUUAUUUAUAUUAAUCACACUUCAAGUGAAGAAGGAUGCAGUGUUCUGAAAAGUCUUGAUAGUAUGCCUCCAUUUGAAAUUCUCAAAAAGAUGGCACAUAUAGAGAACUUCUGGGAAAAUAGACAAGAAAGAGGUAACAGUAGAUGCCUUGGGGGAGGGUAACUGAUGGCAAGGGUGGGAAUGAAAUUCACUUUUUUUUUUUUUUUUUGAGAUGGAGUCUCGCUCUGUCACCAGGCUGGAGGGCAGUGGUGCGAUCUCAGCUCACUGCAACCUCCGCCUCCCGGGUUCAAGCGAUUCUCCUGCCUCAGCCUCCCCAGUAGCUGGGACUACAAGCACAUGCCACCAUGCCCAGCUAAUUUUUUUUUGUAUUUUUAGUACAGAUGAGGUUUCACCAUGUUGGCCAGGAUGGUCUCUAUCUCCUGACCUCAUGAUCUGCCUGCCUCGGCCUCCCAAAGUGCUGGGAUUACAGGCAUGAGCCACUGUGCCCGGCCGAAAUUCACUUUUUACUAUACACCUCUAUGUUAGUUAUCUAUUGAUUUUGUAAAAAUUUAGGUGAGAAAUGAUGAAGAAUUGGAGUGGGCAGGAAAAAUGGAAAGGAGGGUGCAGGUGUGAAAAAUGUCCAUAAAGUUAAGUUGGCAGAACUUGGUUACUAAGAAGUAAGGGAAGUGACAGGGAUUGAGAGAGAGAGAGAGAGACAGAGAGAGGGAGAGAGACAGAGAGGAUAGAGGCUGACUUUUAUGUUUAUAGGUCAGGUGGGUGAUGCUCCCAUUAACAGAGAUGUAAAAUAGAUGAGGGAAAGCCAGGUUGUGGAGAAGUUGAUGCCCUUUGCUUUUGGCAGAGUUGAAUGGCACUGUACAGGACAUUCUGGCCUAGAGUCAGGGGCAAGGUCUUGGCCUUAGAUACAACAUAGGGAAUUGUUCUCACUGGAAAUGGCAGUUUUAAACUUGAACUGGCUUUAAACAAAGGGAAUAUAAAGGCUCACAUAAUUGAGAAGUCAAGGGAUACUGGCUUCAGGCAUGGCUGUAUCCAGAUGCUCAGGAUCUUUCUCUUUAUCUCUUGGCUCUUCCCUCAUCUGUGUUGGCUUCAAUGUCAGGCAGAUUUUCCCUAUAUGGUAGCAAAAUGGCCACAGACUUCAAAUUUAACUGCUGGGAAAAGAAUCUGUUUCUCCUUAUAGUCUCAGGAAAAGCCCUGAUGUUGAUUCCCCUCACCCCAGUUAGAUAAUAUGUCAUUUACUGAACCCACUGGAGUGUCUCUGAUUGGCUGGUUACUUGCUCACCCUUUGGGUGGCUGGCAGUGCUUAACCCAGAGAAACCUCUUGGACUGAGAACCUGCUUGAAGAGCUUCCCUAAAGGGAAAUUGAAAUACUGUUACUGUAAGAAAGGGCAGUGGGGCCAGGCCCAGUGGCUCAUGCCUGUAAUCCCAGCACUUUGGGAGGCUGAGGCAGGUGGAUCACAAGGUCAGGAGUUUGAGACCAGCCUGACCAACAUGGUGAAACCCUGUCUCUACUAAAAAUACAAAAAUCAGCCGGGUGUGGUGGCAUGCACCUGUAGUCCCAGCUACUCCGGAGGCUGAGGCAGGAGAAUCACUUGAAGCUGGGAGGCGGAGGUUGCAGUGAGCCAAGAUCGUGCCACUGCACCGUAGCCUGGGUGAUAAGAGUGAGACUCUGUCUCAAAAAAAAAAAAAAAAAAAAAAAAAAAAAAAAAGGGCAGUGGAUGUAGAGCUGGCAAAAACAAUGACAUUGAGAUGAAGCGUGCUCAGGUCAGAGCUCUAACGAAGCCCUCUGCUGCAGACUGAAUGUUUGUAUCUCCCUCAUAUUCAUAUGUUGAAGUCCUAAGGUGAUGUUAUUUGGAAGUGGGCCUUUGGGAGGGAUUACAGCCUGAUAAGAGGAGACUUGAGAGCUUGCUUCUUCUCUGUGCCAUUUGGGGCUACAAUAGGAUGGUCGUCUGUACACCAGAAGUCAGGCCCUUGGUUGCCAGCAGAAUGGAAUUUGCCAGCACCUUGAUCUUAGACUCUUCACCCUGCAGACCUGAGGAAUAAAUGUGUGUUGUCAAGCCACCUGCUCCAUGCUAAAUUGUUAUAGUAGCCCAAGCAGAUUAAGAUGCCUCUGUUUGGCUGUCUAUGGCUGCAUAACAGACCACUCCAAAUCCAAUGAUUUUUAUCAUCUUUCACAAUUUCUGUGGGUCAGGAAUUUGGGAAGGGCUCAUCUGGGUGGUUCUGCCUUGGUGUCUCUUUUGUGGUUACAGUGGAAGCCGGAGCACUGGGGAGCUGGAGCAGCUGGGAGCUGGCCAAGCAUCUCUCUUCAUAUAGCCUCAAGGCCUCUCCAUGUUGUCUCUCUGCAUGAGCCAGUUGGGCUUCCUCACAGCAUGGCAGCUGAGAGUGUUGACACCUCUUACACUGUAGCUCAGGACUCCCAUGAGUCAGGCCACAUUGCCUUUAUGACCCAGCCUCACAAGUCACCAUAGAAUCAUUUCUACUGUAGUCUGAGUCACUAAGUUUGGCUCAGAUUCAAGGGGAAGAAACAGACUCUGUUACUCAGUGGGAGGAGUCUUAAAGAAUUUAUAGACAUGGUUGGGCACGAUGGCUGAAGUCUGUAAUCCUAGCACUUUGGGAGGCCAAGAUGGGAGGAUCGCUUGAGCCCAGGAGCUCGAGACCAGCUUGGUCAACACAGGGAGCCCCUAUCUCUCCAAAAAACUUAAAAGUUAAAAAAAAUUAGCUGAGCAUGGUGGCACGCACCUGAUCGCACCACUGUAUCCAGCUCGGGCAACAAAGUGAGACUCUAUCUCAAAAAAAAAAAAAAAAAUUAUGGACAUGUUUUAAAACCACCAUACUACAUUUGAAGAGGUCAGAGGAGGAGAAAGAACCACAGAAGCAUCUAGAGAGAUAGCGGGUGGUGGUGGGUGGGGGCAAGAAUCUGGGAUGUGUGUAUGUGUGUUUUGGAGUGGGGGUGCAUUGUGUCAUAGAAACCAAAGAAACACAUUUCCAAGAAGGACCUGCUCAGCCUUGCCAAGUGCAUAAGAGACACACAGCGGGACAACAGGACUUAGGUUUGGCAACAAGGAGGUCAGUGGGAACCUUGGCCAGGAGAAUUUAGGGUGUGAUGUGGAAGGCAAGAAAGUGAGGAGGCAGGGGCCCUUUGUGGAGUGGUUUGGAGAAGGGGUGUGUAUGUAUGUGCACCUGUGUGUGUGUGUGUGUGAAGUGCAAAAAGCCCCACACCAUGGACAGAAGGGGAGGGGGCCCCUGAUAUCAGAGCAGGGGUGGAUGAAAUCCUGGGGCAGUGGGAAGAGAUGAAGUCAAAUAUACAGGGGGAUGGGCUGGCCUUGACUAGCAAAGGAGGGAUCCUGUAUCCUCUGAGAGCCUGGGGAGGAGGGGAGGGGGCCACCAAGAAGAGCCACAAUGUAGUGUCUGUAAGUUGAACUCUGGAGUCCAGCAGAUCUGCGUUUGAAUCUUAGCUCCACUACUUACUGCUUACAUGAUUUAAACACUCUGUGCCUCAGUUUCCCUGACUGUAAAAUGAAGAUAAUUUAAGUACUUGCCUCUCAGAGGGGUUGAAAGAGUGAAAUGAGAUGUGCAUAUAAGACACUUAUCCAAAGUACCUGGAACAAAAUUAGAACUCAGCAAAUUAUGGUUAUUGUUACUGUUAUUGUUAUAUUAGUUUAUAGGUGAGUAGGGUGGGAAGGUGAGAGACACGACACCUGAUAAACUGUCUACUUUUGAGAAAAACAAGAUGGAUUAUCUAUUAAGAAAUAGGAAAAUUUGUCCAGGCAUGGUGGCUCACACCUGUGAUCCCAGCACUUUGGGAGGCUGAGGUGGGUGGAUCACUUGAGGUCAGGAGUUUGAGACCAGCCUGGCCAACGUGGUGAAACUCUGUCUCUACUAAAAAUACAAAAAUUAUCUGGACAUGGUGGUACAUGCCUGUAGUCCCAGCUACUCUUGAGGCUGAGGCAGGAGAAUCACUUGAAGUAGAGGUUGCAGUGAGCCAAGAUCAUGCCACUGCACUCCAGCCUGGGUGACAGAGAGAGACUCUGAGAAGAAAAGAAAGAAAGAAAAAGAAAAGAAAAGAAAAGAAAGAGAAAGAAAGAAAGAAAGAAAAGAAAGAAAGAAAGAAAGAAAAUAUGGUGAAACCCCAGCUCUACUGAAAAAAAAAAAAAAAAAAAAUUAGCCGGGAGUGGCAGCAUGCUGCCUGUAGUCCCAGCUACUCGCUUGGGAGGCUGAGGCAGGAGAAUUGCUUGAACCCAGGAGGCGGAGGUUGCAGUAAUACAAGAUUGUGCCACUCCAGCCUGGCGACAGAGUGAGACUCCGUCUCAAAAAAAAAAAAAAAAGUGACAAAGAUGGGUAUCAUUUAUAGAGCAUUUACUAUAUGCUGGGAUAAUUAAUCUUCCCAAUGACCUUAUGAACUUUCUUUUUUAUCAAUUAAAGUACUUCAAGGCUAGAAUCAACUAAAGUAUGAGAUUGGAUUUUUAAAAGGCUUUGAGUGAAAAAUGUCCUGUAAAAACUCUCAGAGCCAAGAUCACUUUAGAGGUGCAACUCUGCCACCUGUUAUUCUUGCUAAUUGCCAUUACAUUGAGAGUGACAGCUUUAGGAUAGAAAGCAAAGGGAAAAAGCAGACUUGAGGACAAUAUAUUGAAAAGUAUUGUGGGUAUGGUUUUAGUACCAUUAACUACAGUCAAAUCGAUAAGAAACCUAAGAUUUUUUUUGAGAUGGAGUUUCACUCUUGUUGCCCAGGCUAGAGUGCAAUGGCACAAUCUUGGCUCACUGCAACCUCCACCUCCUGGGUUCAAGUGAUUCUCCUGCUUCCGCCUCCCAAGUAGCUGGGAUUACAGGCAUAUGCUACCAUGCCUGGCUAAUUUUUUGUAUUUGGUAGAGAUGGGGUUUCACCCUGUUGGUCAGGCUGGUGUCGAACUUCUAACCUUAGGUGAUCCGUCCGCCUCGGCCUCCCAAAGUGCUGGGAUUACAGGCGUGAGCCACUGCCCCCUGCCAGAAACCUAAGUUUUUCAGAGAAUUAUACUGACAAAGAAAUCACAAGCCUGGGCUAAAAAGCCUAUGAAGCUGGGUGCCUAUAAUCCUAGCACUUUGGGAGGCUGGAGGCAGGUGGAUUGCUUGAGCCCAGGAAUUCAAGACUAGCCUGGUCAACAUGGCAAAACCCUGUCUCUACAAAAUACACAAAAAUUAGCUGGAUGUGGUGGUGUGUGCCUGUAGUCCCAGCUCCUUGGGAGCCUGAGGUGGGAGGUUCACCUGAGCCCAAGGAGGUUGAGGCUGCGGUCAACUAUGAUUGCACCACUGCACUCCAGCCUGGGCAACAACAACAAAAAAGCCUGUGACUGUUUGGGUCUCAAAAUGAUCCUAGUCACUUCAUACCCAUUAGGAUGACUACCAUAAAACAAAACAGAAUAACAAGUUUUGGCAAGGAUAGGGGGAAACUGGAACCCUGUGAAUUGUUGAUAACAAUGAAAAAUGGUGCAGAUGCUAUGGAAAACACAUAGUGAUUCCUUGAAAAAGUAAAAAUAGAAUUACCACAUGAUCUGGCAAUUUUACUUCUAGUUAUAUACCCCAAAGAACUGAAGCCAGGGGUGGUGGCUCACUCCUGUAAUCCCAGCACUUUGGGAGGCAAAGGCAGGCGGAUCACCUGAGAUCAGGAAUUUGAGAGCAGCCUGACAAACAUGGCAAAGCCUCAUCCCUACUAAACACACACAGACACACACACACACACACACACACACACACACACACAUCAGGUGCGGUGGUGUGAGCCUGUAAUCCCAGCUACUCGGGAGGCUGAGGCAGGAGAAUUGCUUGGACCCAGGAAGUGGAGGUUGCAGUGAGCGGAGAUUGUGCCACUGCACUCCAGCCUGGGCAAUAGAGUGAGACUGUCUCAGAGAGAAAAAAAAAAGAACUGAAAGCAGUGUAUCUUGAAGAGAAAUUUCCAAACCCAUUUUCAUAGCAACAUUAUUCUCAAUAGCUAAAAGGUGGAAGCAACCCAAGUGUCUAUCAACAGAUGAAUGGAUAAGCAAGAUGUGAUAUACACAUGCAAUAGAAUAUUACUCAGCUUUAAAAAGAAGGAAAUUCUGAUACAUGCUGCAAUGGAUAAACCUUGAGGACAUGAUGUGAAGUGAAAUAGACCAGUCACGAAAAGUAAACACUGUAUGAUUCUGCUUAUAUGAGACAUAUACCAUAGUCAAAUUCAUACAUAUAGAAAGCAGAAUGGUGGUUGCUAAGAGCUAGGGGGAGGGGGAAAUGGAGAGUUAGUGCAUAGUGGAUCCAGAACUUCAGUUUUGCACGAUGAAGAGUUCUCAAGAUGGAUGAUGGUGAUGGUUGCACAACAAUGUGACUAUACUUAAUAUCCAGUGAGUUGUACACCUAAAGAUGGUUAAGAUGGUAAAUGUUAUGCUAUCUGUAUUUUACUACUCUCUCUCUCUCUCUCUAUCUAUAUAUAUAUAGAUAGAGAGAGAGAGAGAGAGAGAGACAGAGUUUCGCUCCUGUUGCCCAGGGUGGAGUGCAAUGGUGUGAUCUCAGCUCACUGCAACCUCUGUCUCCUGGGUUCAAGUGAUUCUCCUGCCUCAGCCUCCCGAGUAGCUGGGAUUACAGGCACACACCACCACGCCUGGCUAAUUUUGUAUUUUUAGUAGAGAUGGGGUUUCUCCAUGUUGGUCAGGCUGGUCUCGAUCUCCCGACCUCAAGUGAUCCACCCACCUCAGCCUCCCAAAGUGCUGGGAUUACAGGCGUGAGCCACCACGCCCGGCCCUCAAAAUAUUUUUUAAUGAUCCUAGGGUCCCUGACAGUUUACAGGCAGUGAGUGAGCUGAAAAAGCGGCGUACCUCCCAAGGUACUUUUGGGCCUUCUUGCUUCCAGUGGAUUCCUUGCUCUUUCCUGCUUUGCAGAGCUGACCCCUGGAAGCUACUCAGCCUCCUUUGUCAGCUGGCCUCUAGCUGAGGUCACCCAAGGUGAGGCACCCACAGGAAGUUGGAGGGAGAAAGGGGGAAGCCAGGCUUUUUCUUCCCAACCAUCUCUGACUUCCCUAGCCCAUCUUGACUGAUACAACCUCCUCAUCUAAAAUAGUAGCCCUUCCUUACACUUUGUCCCCUUCACUGCAUGAUAUCAUUAUGUGCACUUAUCUGUUUAUUCAUUAUACGUUUCCAUCUACUAGAGUAUAAGCUCUGUGAGGGAAGGGACUAUGUCUGCUUUAUUCACUGACGAAUCCCCAGUCCUUAAGACAGUGCCUGGAACAUAGUAGGUGCUCAGUGACGGUUUAUUGCAAAAGUGAAUAAAUUUGGUAGUCAAACCAAACGCAUACAAGAGAAGAGGGAAGUGCUCAUUUCAGCACACAUAUACUAAAAUCAGAACAAUACAGAGGGCUGGGCACAGUGGCUCAUGCCUGUAAUCCCAGCACUUUGGGAGGCUGAUGCUGGCGGAUCACUUGAGGUCAGGAGUCUGAGACCAGCCUGGGUAACACGGUGAAAACCCGUCUCUACCAAAUAAUACAAAAAAUUAGCCCGGUGUGGUGGUGUUCACCUAUAAUCCCAGCUUACUUUGGUGGCUGAGGCAGAAAAAUCGUUUGAACUUGGGAGGUGGAUGUUGCAGUGAGCUGAGAUUGUGCCACUGUACUCCAGCCUAAGUGACAGAGUGAGACUCCAUCUCAAAAAAUAGAAAAGAACAGGCUGGGCACAGUGGCUCAUGCUUGUAAUCCCAAAGUUUGGGAGUUCGAGAUCAGCCUGGCUAACAUAGUGAAACCCUGUGUCUACUAAAAAUACAAAAUUAGCUGGGCAUGGUGGCGUGCACCUGUAAUCCCAGCUACUUGGGAGGCUGAGGCAGGAGAACUGCUUGUACCAGGGAGGCGGAGGUUGCAGUGAGCCGGGAUCGCCCCACUGCACUCCAGCCUGGGCGACAGAGUGAGACUAGGUCUCAAAAAACAAAAGAAGAAGAAGAAG